rnacentral:misc_RNA from 1 species
GGGGGAACAAACGAAGUAGGGCUAUUAAAGAAAAAAAAAAGGGUCAAAAAUAGUAUAGGAGGAACAAUGAUAGGCCACUUGUCCUAGGAAUUCUGCACAAUCACAACAGAAGUUAGAUGUUCUCAACUUCUCAUAGUUCAUGAUUCAUAAAACUUGGAGAGCUCUUCGGAGAAGGCCUUCCUAAUGGCCUCUCUCUUGAUCUUGAGAGCUGCAGUGACAAG